ensembl:ncRNA F08G5.16 ncRNA
AAGAAAUCUCAUUGUGACUGACUUGAUGUCGUUGACUUGCUCUACGAGCACAUCCGUCCGAUGUGUGAUUAGCAUACGCGGGAGGAGUUCAGAAUGCUUUUUUUCUUUAAACAGUGUGUCACAUUCGACUCCCAAGGGUUACAU